rnacentral:tRNA from 1 species
CUUUUUAAGAAGGCAGCAAUGAGAGUGCAAAGGAGUUANUAGGUUCCUUAUACAAGAGCUUUAAAUAGCG